GACGUAGGGCGCGAGCGUUGUCCGGAUUUAUUGGGCGUAAAGAGCUCGUAGGCGGCUUGUUGCGUCGACUGUGAAAACCCGCGGCUUAACUGCGGGCUUGCAGUUGAUACGGGCAGGCUAGAGUUCGGUAGGGGAGACUGGAAUUCCUGGUGUAGCGGUGAAAUGCGCAGAUAUCAGGAGGAACACCGGUGGCGAAGGCGGGUCUCUGGGCCGACACUGACGCUGAGGAGCGAAAGCGUGGGGAGCGAACAGG
rnacentral:rRNA from 1 species